rnacentral:tRNA from 1 species
GCCUGGGUGGCUCAGCCAGUUGAGCGUCUGAUUUUGGCUCAGGUCAUGAUUCGUGGUUUGUGAGUUGGAAUCCCACAUCAGGCU